rnacentral:rRNA from 1 species
AUUGAACGCUGGCGGCAGGCCUAAUACAUGCAAGUCGAGCGAGCGGCGGACGGGUGAGUAAUGUCUGGGAAACUGCCUGACGGAGGGGGAUAACUACGGGAAACGGUAGCUAAUACCGCAUACCGUCCGAUGUGCCCACAGGGGAUUAGCUAGGGGGUGGGGUAAUGGCUGACCUAGGCGACGAUGCCUAGCUGGUCUGAGAGGAUGACCGGCCACACUGGAACUGAGACACGGCCCAGACUCCUACGGGAGGCAGCAGUGGGGAAUAUUGCGCAAUGGACGAAAGCCGGAUGCAGCCAUGCCGCGUGUGUGAAGAAGGCUUUCGGGUUGUAAAGCACUUUCGGUGGGGAGGCGUUACUCGAAGAGGAAGCACCGGCUAACUCCGUGCCAGCAGCCGCGGUAAUAC